rnacentral:rRNA from 1 species
GACGAACGCUGGCGGCGUGCUUAACACAUGCAAGUCGAACGAUGAAGCCGGAGCUUGUUCCGGUGGAUUAGUGGCGAACGGGUGAGUAACACGUGAGCAAUCUGCCCUUGACUCUGGGAUAACUGCGGGAAACUGUAGCUAAUACCGGAUACGACACCUUGGGGCAUCCCAGGGUGUGGAAAGAAUUUCGGUCAAGGAUGAGCUCGCGGCCUAUCAGCUAGUUGGUGAGGUAAUGGCUCACCAAGGCGACGACGGGUAGCCGGCCUGAGAGGGUGACCGGCCACACUGGAACUGAGACACGGUCCAGACUCCUACGGGAGGCAGCAGUGGGGAAUAUUGCACAAUGGGCGAGAGCCUGAUGCAGCAACGCCGCGUGAGGGAUGAAGGCCUUCGGGUUGUAAACCUCUUUUAGCAGGGAAGAAGCGAAAGUGACGGUACCUGCAGAAAAAGCACCGGCUAACUACGUGCCAGCAGCCGCCGUAA